rnacentral:rRNA from 1 species
GACGAACGCUGGCGGCGUGCUUAACACAUGCAAGUCGAACGAAGUGGCGAACGGGUGAGUAACGCGUAAUCAACCUGCCCUUCAGAGGGGGACAACAGUUGGCAACGACUGCUAAUACCGCAUACUGAAGGAGGGGAUUGCGUCUGAUUAGCUAGUGGGGGGGGUAACGGCCCACCAAGGCGAUGAUAAGUAGCCGGGCUUAGAGGGUGAAGGGCCACAAUGGGACUGAGACACGGCCCAGACUCCGACGGGGGGCAGCAGUGGGGAAUCUUCCGCAAUGGACGAAAGUCUGACGGAGCAACGCCGCGGGAGUGAUGACGGCCUUCGGGUUGUAAAGCUCUGUUAAUCGGGACGCGGUACCGGAAUAGAAAGCCACGGCUAACUACGUGCCAGCAGCCGCGGUAAUUC